rnacentral:rRNA from 1 species
ACGGGAGGCAGCAGUGAGGAAUAUUGGUCAAUGGGCGAGAGCCUGAACCAGCCAUGUCGCGUGGAGGAAUAAGGAUCUAUGGUUCGUAAACUCCUUUUGCGGGGGGAUAAAGUGCGGGACGCGUCCCGUUUUGUAGGUACCCCGCGAAUAAGCAUCGGCUAACUCCGUGCCAGCAGCCGCGGUAAUACGGAGGAUGCGAGCGUUAUCCGGAUUUAUUGGGUUUAAAGGGAGCGUAGGCGGGCCUUUAAGUCAGUGGUCAAAGCGUGUGGCUCAACCAUACCACGCCGUUGAUACUGGAGGCCUUGAGUGCACAUAAGGAUGGUGGAAUUCAUGGUGUAGCGGUGAAAUGCUUAGAUAUCAUGAAGAACUCCGAUUGCGAAGGCAGCUGUCCGGGGUGUAACUGACGCUAAUGCUCGAAAGUGCGGGUAUCAAACAGGAUUAGAUACCCUGGUA